rnacentral:rRNA from 1 species
CUACCUCGCAGAAGGGACGAGCGGGCUGGCCACGCCGUAAAACACCCCACUUCU